AAGCGACAGUACAGAGCUUAUUCUUAAUGUAAAUACGGGAUUUCGCCCCUGAUCCAGAGGCUUCUCGCAGGGCAGGUUCACGUUUUUAGGAAAAGUAGUUUUUCAGUCCCUCCUUAGGUGAACCGAGUGUUGUGUCCAGGUCUGGGCUCCUGAGUGCAAGAUGGACAAGGAGCUACUGGAGAGGGUUCAGCAGAGGCCACAAAGAUGAUGAGGGGUCUGGAGCAUCUCCCUUACGAGUUGAGACUGCGGGAGCUGAGCCUGUUCAGCCUGGAGAAGAGAAGACUGAGAGGGGUUCUCAACGCACAAGUGCCAAGAGGUGUCAGACUCUUUUCAGUGGUGCCCAGCGACAGGACAAGGAGCAAUGGCUGUAAACUAAACCACAAAGAAGUUCCACCUCAACAUAAAGAAGAACCUCCUUACUUUGAGGAUGUCAGAGCACUGGAACAGGCAGCCCAGGAUGGUCAUGGAGUCUCCCUCUCUGGAGACAUUCCAAACCCACCUGUGUGUGUUCCUGUGUCACCUGCUCCAGGUGACCCUGCCUUGGCAGAGGGGUUGGAUGGGAUGAUCUUCAGAUGUCCGUGCCAACCUUGACAAUUCUGUGAUUCUUGCAUUUGUUUUGUUUUUUAUCCCAGUGAUCAUCUCCCUGUGUGUGACUGCCCCAUUUUCCUGUGGGCUGGGCUCCGGGUGCCUCCUUUGCAGCACUGACCGCUCAGGGUCUGCAGGCACGUCAGGCACCAGCUCCUCAUGGACAGCCUCAGGGAUUUGAUUGCUGAAGAUUGCUACAGAAUGAGGGAGAAUUACAGGCAUGGCACUUGUGUUUGAAUAUUAUUAAUAACAUAGUGUCACCUGUUAAUAGCACGGUGUCACAUGCAACACAACGGUCGAGUCUGUCUGUCUCUCUGUCUGUAGCUCUGGUUUGAAGGCACGGUUUUGGAACCUGAAUAACGUGGCAGGGAGACCACGCCAGCCUUUAGCUUCAGAUGGUCACAGCUCAAGGCUCAGAGUUCUACUGUCUGACUGACACUUAGUGAAAGCUUCAUUGUCAUCCUCUGUGCUUCUAGAACAUGUCAGUGACCUCAUGGACUCCCCGAGGACCUAGUGACCAGAGCCAGCUGGCUUUUGGCUGCUUGAGGCCUGGGACUCACAAGCCCUCACAUAAGCAGUUUAGUGUCAGAGCUGACCAUUGGCUAAGAAACUUGUAAUUCUGCUGUCUCUUGCACUGGAAGACAAAAUUUUCCUUUCUUGUUCAGUAUUUUCUGAGUACUGAGUUCACUUUGAGUGUGUUGUAAUUUCAGUUUGAUCUUGAAUUGUUUUUCUUGCUAAAAUUUCAAGUGUUUGUUUUAAUAUCUUCUAGGGUAAUGUUUGGAAGUGUCUCCUGUCUCUUUCCUUCCCUGUCAUUUUAGUAACACUACAAGAAAAUAACCUGCUGACUUUUAAAAGGGAUGGAACAAAGGUUUUGGUGAAGGCACUUGUACUGUUGUGCAAGUGUUUCAUGAGAUGGAAAUAAAAAGAAACUUUUAUAUUAGAUAAAGCAAUUGAAUCCAUUCAUUGCAGAUCAUAAGGCUCCUGACAGCCUGUAAGACCUGUUCAAAUAUGGAAAGGGGAGUCAGCAAGUGGAAAAAAUCCUAGAUGUUUGUUUUAUAGGGGUAAAAGUCUUUAAAGGUAUAUGGGUCUGGCAACUAACUGGAUUCUUCUUCAUAUGUAGAAGACUAUUUGGUUUUAAGAUGGUUUCCUCUUUGUCCUUUUCCUUUCAAAAAAGGCUGUCCAAAAGAAUAAUUAAAAAAAAGAAGUUAAUGACUUUACCAGGACAUUACUAGAAUUUAUUUUUUCAUAUUAUCUAAACAAGAAGUCCCUGUCUCUUACUUACAUGAGGUUUUAUUCUUCCAUCUUGACAGAGCCUUUGACUAGAUCCAUAUCUUAAGUGGCUUUCAGGAGAAAACUGUCUGAAAGGGAGUUUUAUUUUAUAUCCUUCCUCACUUUCCCGAGUCCCUGUUUAGAAGAACUGGCAGCUCUACUGGCAAAGGGGCUUUUGCAAAUUAGAGGUUCUUUCUGUUGUGAAAUUUCUCAUUUUUAGAGAAAAAGACAGAUGUAAUGAAAUGUGCAAACUGAGAACAGGUAAAUAAAGUACCUAAUUCUUCUCCUGUGGAAGCCCUUUAAAGAAAAGCCAGAAAGAUCUUGGGAAGCCUCUGUUUGCUUAAAAGAGAGUUCAUCCUUAUUGAGGAGAAAGGAAAAUAAGUAGGAAGACCUGGCAAGAGUGGAGGUGGGAUAGAGGAAUUUGCAUUAUUGGUACAUGUUAGAUAACAGCAAAAUGGACAAGGGUGAGCCUAGGGGUGGAAUAAUUUGAUUUUUAUUAUUAGGUAAAAUCACACAGCAUUUCUAGAUGAAAUUUCAUAAUUCCUUUUAAAUAUGCUGUAUCUAUUUUUUAGUCCAUCAGACAACUCAAACUCUGUUUCUUCCCACAGUUUGUUGCACUUCCCUAUUAGAUGUGUCCCAACUCGGACAUCACUGAGAGUAAAAUCAAAGUUCUGUUUGAUUUGCCUAAUGAGUUCAUUUUAUAACAUCUUAUUCCUCUGCAUCUUCUGUGGUUCAGCCGUGUGCUGAGGUAGGGAAGGUCAUUCACUGGGGAAAAUUAAUAAGCUCUAAUGGGCUCAAGUGAAACAGGUGCACUACAGUUUUUAUCCUUUCUGCAAAAGGUCUGUGUUUGAAAUCAGGAGGAAGGCAAAAUUAUUGAGUGUUUAAGAAAUAUAGUCUCAGUUGGAGUACAAAACCUUUUAUUUUGCCUACUGUGUUCCUAAACUGUUCCCUUUCUAUAAGCCAGAGAAACCCUGAAGCUUUUGUAGUUUCUUCUGGCAAGUGUUUUAUCCUACUGCUAUCUUCAGGUUUCCACUCUGGGGUUAAAAUGCUGCACGAUAGAAGAUUAAAUUUCUUUUGGAAGCUUUGUCUCCCUGGAUGAUCCAAAGCAGCUGGUAUGUAGAAUAUAAGUAAACUUUUCGACUUAACAGACCCUUUCUGCAGAAAUCUGACUGUACUUUCCCUUAACUGUGUCUUCCACAAGCUGAACAGAAGGUGAAAUAGAUAUCUGUGCUUUCAGAAGGUUUGUGGUGUAGCUGUUAAAUGCCUAUAGGGCCGUUAAACAUGUAUUUAAGUAACAAUGACAAUUCUAUGUUGUCACAUGCACAGCCAACUAAACCUUACACUGCCUAUGCAGUGACUGGACUACCAAGCUGUCAAAGGCUUGCUGACUUUCUACUUGGGGCACCAAGGUACAGAAUUUUUAAACACGUUAUUUAUUAAUGUUUUAAGAUACAUAUAGUGAAUAUUAAGCGUAGAUAGAAUAUCUUGGGGAUUUUUUUCCUGCUCACUUUAUUCCUGCUUUUUGCCCAUACUCCACUUUUCUUAUGUCAGCCUGUCAGUUGUAAUUUUUACACCUCUUUUUCUUUUCAUUUGUACCUUCUCAGAUUCUCUCUCUUUUUGUGGUCCUACAUCUGAACCAUAAUACAGUGCCACACUCUCUUACCUGUGGCUGAAUGACCUUGGUAUAGGGAGCAUCACUCUGUCAUUAAAGUGAUAAUCAUAAUUAUUAGAGCAUAGAGUGGUUAACACUAAUUAUAAACUGAGAUUAACUUGGUAAGAAUGAGUGUGGAAUUUUUAACUGAACAAAGCAAGAUUUCACUGUAAUUUGACAACAGGUGUGAAGUGUGUAUGUCUAGCAGGUAGCAUAUCUGUGUUCAUGGUAAUCACAAGAAAAUCCAUCUGACUUACAGUGGGCAUUAUUUGAUGGCUCAGGUGAGAUUGUUGGAAUGUGAUGGAGGGGCAAGGUUUGUCAAUGUGAGUAAAUCAGUCACAAAAUGCCCUGAAGCUGAGCUAAGGCAUGCAGAAUCUAGAUGUGAAUAUGCUCUUUGAAGAAUUUCUAAAGUCAGGUUUGAUACUUAGCAUCUUUUACCUGCAUUGUCCUGGCUUAUGCUUCUUAUUUAAAGAAAAAGCAAUGAGAUAAUUGUGAUGUGUUUACCAGAGCUGUUGUUAUUUCUGGGUUUAUAUUGAUUGUUAUUACUCAAGUCUUCAUUUUUGAAAUUUGUAUUCUGCCUGGGCUGGUGCCAAAACUUCCAUGACUGUGCUGUGAAACUCUAUUUUAGGAACACAAGCUUGUGGUAGUUGCAGCAAAGAAUUUGGAGAGAGUAAAACCUUUAUUUGCUCAGACAAUGAAUUGUAGUGAGCAACUGUUCUAAAAAGAAAGGUCCUGAUUUAUAGGCUUCCCCCACAUUGAGAUUAUCCCAGGUUCAAGGUCUGACACAGCUAGGUUCUGGUCUCUUUGUAUAAUGUAAAUUCAGAUUUGAAACAGAAUCUGCUCCUCUCCUGCAUGAAGAUUACACUGGCAGCAAGGAAAAUUUGGGCAGAGCAGAGAGCAGAAUGUGGGGGAAAGAGCAAGAAGAAGGAAGCUACAAGCCUAGGAGAAACUUUAUUGAUGUUUUUCAGCUGUGAGCUCUUGGGAGAUUUCUGCAGCCAUUAAAUGGUUUUCUGAGGAGAGAGUGGAGGGUUUUGCAGUUUUGUUGGUGAAGGUAAGGUUGCAAGCUGAAACUGUAGUGCACAGGUUGAUGAUGGAAGCUGUAACAGGCAGUGUUGGGGUUGCAUUUUGCUCUUGGUUAGCAUGUUCCACUGCACUUGAAAGAAUCACUGGAUUAGGUGGAACCAGCAGGAGAAAGGGUGAGAUGGCUCCUUUUAUUCAAGAGCAGCUGACUGACUUUGGGAGUGAAGACUCAAGACCAUAGGCAGAGCAAGAAAUAAAUUUAAAAAAAUAAAUAAAAAAAAAAACAGCAAAGAACAGGGAGAGGUUUGCUCAAGAGAGGAAAUAGCUGAGGGUUUUGGAGGGCAUAUGGUCAGGCCAGUGGAUGGUAAGAAGGAAAACUUCCUAGAGACUGUGCAGAGACUGUUUCAGCCUUAAGGGUGGGUCAUCACACCAAUGGCAGGAGAAAUAGCACAAAAUCAGAAAAUUUGCUCUGCUG